AGAGUGGCGCACGGGUGAGUAACGCGUGGAUUAUCUACCUAUUGGUACGGGACAACAGUUGGAAACGACUGCUAAUACCGUAUAAGCUGGUAACGGGAAAGGGGGCCUCUUCUUGAAAGCUCUCGCCAGUAGAUGAGUCCGCGUUUCAUUAGCUAGACGGUGGGGUAACGGCCUACCGUGGCAACGAUGAAUAGCAGGCCUGAGAGGGUGGCCUGCCACACUGGGACUGGAACACGGCCCAGACUCCUACGGGAGGCAGCAGUGGGGAAUAUUGCGCAAUGGACGAAAGUCUGACGCAGCGACGCCGCGUGGAGGAUGAAGGUUUUCGGAUCGUAAACUCCUGUCAAGAGGGAAGAAACCUGUUGAA
rnacentral:rRNA from 1 species